ensembl:snoRNA
ACGCGCUGUCUUUGAGCCCCCGCCGCGCCUCCGAGUAGCGCCGGGGGUCAAUCUGCAGCGCCAGAGCACGUGCUUGCGCAUAACUGGGGCCGCGUGGCCCCCCCCGCCGGCGGCCCUUUUAACCGCGAGCUACAAUA